rfam:Hordeum vulgare subsp. vulgare, WGS project CAJW01000000 data, contig: morex_contig_1587484
GAUGUACUCCCUCCGUCCCAAAAUUCUUGUCUUAGAUUUGUUCAGAUAUGAAUGUAUUUAGUCACGUUUUAGUAUUUUGAUACAUUCAUUUCAAGACAAACCUAAGACAAGAAUUUUGAAACGGAGGGAGUAUAUA